rnacentral:lncRNA from 1 species
AUGGCAUUCUUCAGCCUCCCAGCAUCACAAGACAGGAGCAGACUUGCCUUCCUGGGGGAGGAAGUGGAAACACAGAAACCUGAAUGCAGGACUCGAGCCUGGAUGGGACGCCUGGCCUAUACACUUGCUGCUGGAGGCGUGGGGUGCCUUCCCUCACGACCUGCUGCGAGCACUGGGGCAGCGGAGGACAGCCUCUUCCCAGGGGGAGACCCGUGUGGAGCAUCUGGAGUCCAUAUGCUGCUGGUUUCCACGAGGGCUCUGAGUGUAAUGGCAGGUAUUGGGCUUAAUCCCUAGAAUUCUGCAGGGUCUGCGUUUUGUCUCUAAGAUCCUGUCUUCCCCUUUGCGUUCUCAGAGGGCUGGCUUCAGUGGACAGAAUCUUCCUUGACAGCUGAUGGGGAAUUCUCAGUGGAGGACCGUUGACUUUGGAACACUUUCUGCUGUCACUCCCACAAAGCCCAAGUUUCCUGACCUAUGGGCGUAUGACAGACCCAUCUGCUUUUUGCAGUUAGUCAUUUGAGGGCCUUAAUUCUAAAAAGGCUGUGUAAAUUUAAGCUGAGGUGGUGCACAGAGGAAGUGAUAUUUAUUUGGCCCCUCAUCUCACUUCCUGCCCUCUUCCUUUGACUGUCCCAGGCCCAAGCAACGCUUUUGCCAGGAUGUCCAAGACACACCCAGCAAGAAGUGCCUCCUGCCCUCUCUCUUGAAAGAUCUCUACCCAUUCCUGUCUUGGCAUUUUAUUUCCCAUGAAAAUGAUCCCGGAGAGGAAGCCUACCUCUACCAUGUGGUCACUUAAUCAUUACAUGAAGAGCAAUAUAUAAAGUUGGUUAGAUUCAUAAGUGGUCCAUCAGGAAUGGGUUGUUAUGGGAAAUUAAAGUGUAUGGUGUGCAAUGUUAACUCUCUGAGGUUGAGAUCAAGAAUGACCACACUUCUAAACUUCCUUCCUCAAGUGUGCCUCAGGCGCAGAGGGUCCUGACUGGGGUGGGUCGUGUGCUGACCCUAGAAAAGGCCCUUGGUGCUUGUUCAUCUA